rnacentral:rRNA from 1 species
CCUACGGGAGGCAGCAGUGAGGAAUAUUGGUCAAUGGGCGCAAGCCUGAACCAGCCAAGUCGCGUGAGGGAUGACGGUCCUAUGGAUUGUAAACCUCUUUUGUCGGGGAGCAAGGCACGCCACGUGUGGCGGGAAGGAGAGUACCCGAAGAAAAAGCAUCAGCUAACUCGGUGCCAGCAGCCGCGGUAAUACGGGGGAUGUGAGCUUUAUACGGAUUUAUUGGGUUUAAAGGGUGAGUAGGCGGAAGGUUAAGUCAGCGGUAAAAUGUCGGUGCUCAACACCGGCCUGCCGUUGAAACUGGUCUUCUUGAGUGAGCUAGAGGUAUGCGGAAUGCGUGGUGUAGCGGUGAAAUGCAUAGAUAUCACGCAGAACUCCGAUUGCGAAGGCAGCAUACCGGCGCUCAACUGACGCUGAGGCACGAAAGCGUGGGGAUCGAACAGGAUUAGAUACCCCAGUAGUC